rnacentral:rRNA from 1 species
GAUUCUGGCUCAGGAUGAACGCUAGCUACAGGCUUAACACAUGCAAGUCGAGGGGCAGCAUUGGGAUAGCUUGCUAUUCAGAUGGCGACCGGCGCACGGGUGAGUAACGCGUAUCCAACCUUCCUGCCAGUAGGGAACAGCCCGGCGAAAGUCGGAUUAAUGCCCUAUGUUCUUCAAUGCGGACAUCUAAGUUGAAGGAAAGAUUCAUCGCUGGCAGAUGGGGAUGCGUCCGAUUAGCUUGCCGGCGGGGUAACGGCCCACCGGGGCGACGAUCGGUAGGGGUUCUGAGAGGAAGGUCCCCCACACUGGUACUGAGACACGGACCAGACUCCUACGGGAGGCAGCAGUGAGGAAUAUUGGUCAAUGGGCGUAAGCCUGAACCAGCCAAGUAGCGUGCCAGGAUGACGGCCCUACGGGUUGUAAACUGCUUUUAUGCGGGGAUAAAGUGCGGCACGUGUGCCGCUUUGCAGGUACCGCAUGAAUAAGGACCGGCUAAUUCCGUGCCAGCCGCGGC